rnacentral:rRNA from 1 species
AUUGAACGCUGGCGGCAGGCCUAAUACAUGCAAGUCGAACGAGAGGCGGACGGGUGGAUAAGUGCUGAGAAAGUGGCUGACGGAGGGGGAUAACUGGUGGAAACGGUAGCUAAUACCGCAUACGAGCAGAUGUGUCCAGAUGGGAUUAGCUAGUUGGGGGGGUAACGGCUCACCAAGGCGACGAUCCCUAGCUGGUCUGAGAGGAUGACCAGCCACACUGGAACUGAGACACGGCCCAUACUCCUACGGGAGGCAGCAGUGGGGAAUCUUGCACAAUGGGCGAAAGCCUGAUGCAGCCAUGCCGCGUGUGUGAAGAAGGCCUUCGGGUUGUAAAGCUCUUUUAGCGGGGAGGCGUUACCCGCAGAAGAAGCACCGGCUAACUCCGUGCCAGCAGCCGCGGUAAUAC